GAGGAGGAGGAGGAGGAGGAGGAGGAGAGCACUGGAGCAAAGCGCGGGAAGCAGAGCGCGAGGGGGGGUCCGAGCGACGGUAGAGUGACGGUAGAGAGAGGGGUCCGGGGGGUCGGUGGGGGUCUGGCAAGGAGCGCGGGAUCCCAUUGGUUCGCAGCCGGGCCAUAUUAUAAGCGGUUGCAGUCCGCGCUAGUUAAUGUUAGCUCGAGCCUCCACGAGAGACGACGCAUCUCUCUCUCCUGUCCACCGUCGCUGUCGCCGUUGCCGCCGCCGUCGUUACUGCUACUACUACUACUGCUACUCUUCUACUACUGCUACUACUACGCGCGCACGUCUCCAAGUAGCGCUCAGAGUAUCGCGUACCGCGCGUAAGAGAGUACGAGCUUACUACGACACAGGCGCAGAGAGGGAGGAAGAAAAAAGUAAGAGUGUGAGAAGAAAGAAAGAUAGAGAGAGAGAGAGAGAGAAAGGAAGAAGGAGAGAGAUAACACGCGUUGUUGAUAAGACGCGCGCCUCAUCGGAGAGAUCCUUCCGCAAACACACACGCACGCACGCACACGCGCCCGCUCGAUUUCGAGUCCGCGAGAUUCGAGAAGCAACAGAAACUUCCCCCCCUGCGCGCGCGCGCGCGCGCGAACGUUCGUCGGUCCAGUGCUCGCGACGUUCAGCUAUUGUUCGGGGACGCAACGCGUGUUGUCACCGAGGAGCGGCGGCGAGUGAUCGAAAGAGUGAACGCGAAAAAAAAAAGAGAACGCGGGAAUUCUAAUUUCCGCCGGAGUUCCAGUUCGCGGGGAAAGAACGUGAGAGAAGAGAAGAGAAGAAGGCGCGAGAGAUAACGAGAAACGGACCAGAGAAAGGGACCCAGUUUCCUCUGGACCUAACCGAGAGAGGCGGGACCGAGAGGCAAGAGACCCAGGAGAUCCAGAAGCGCGUGAGAUAAAUCAAGGAGGGACCGAGUGCGCGAAAGCGAGGAAUAACGAAAUGAUGCAUUGGCAGCAGAACACCCAGUCAUCGUCCAACGACGAGAUCGCGAUGUAUCCGUCGGCCGCGUAUCAUUCCUCGUGUUCGACGCUACCGUCGUCGUCGUCGUCGUCAUCGUCGCUGUCAUCGUCGUCGUCGUCGUCGUCGUCGUCAUCGAGGUCGUCGCCCGCGAGAUCGUCCUCCCCCCUACUGGCGUCCGUCCUCGCGUGGUCACUGACGCUCCUGUUGAUCUCGUCCUGCAUUGGCCUGGGCGCGGACGCCGCCAGCCUAAGCGGCCACCCCCUGGGCAAAAGGUCGUUCUUCGACAUCCAAUGUAAGGGCGUGUACGACAAGAGCAUCUUCGCCCGUCUGGACCGCAUCUGCGAAGACUGCUACAACCUCUUCCGGGAACCGCAAUUGCACAUGCUUUGCAAGAAGGAAUGUUUCACCACGGACUACUUCAAAGGCUGCUUAGACGUUUUGCUGCUGACGGACGAGGUCGGAAAGAUCCAAAUGUGGAUCAAGCAACUCCACGGGGCUGAUCCCGGGGUUUAGCGGUGUUUGGAUCAAAAGCCACAAACGCAAGUACUUCAAAAAUUGAUAACAGGCGACAAUAAUUUUACAACAAUAUAAUUGGACAACGUGACGGCCGGAUUUAAAUAGCAAAUGCAUCAUCGAAUGUACCAACAGUAUCGUGUAGAAGAGAUUGAGGUUGUGAGCAAGAAAUAUCGUGAGUUGAUUGAAUUUCCAAUUAUGCCUUAUUUGAAUGCAUUUAUUAUAUUUCCCUUGCCAUUACUUUCAAUUAUAUUUUCGUUGCAUUUUCUCACCAUCUCUCCCCUGGACGAAUAUCCACGUGUAUUAUAGUAUCUUCGCACCGAGAUAAUGAGUAUGAGACAUUAGGCAAGACUGCUUCAGCACACAAUACUUCACGAGCUGCAUCCAAGCGCUGCUGCUUGAGGACGAGAAGGAAAGGUUGCAGGAGAUGGUCGAGUACCUAGGUCGCAAGAAGUAAACGGGACAUGGUCAGAGCAACGA
rnacentral:misc_RNA from 1 species